CAGAGACUGCGAGCGUUAUUCGGAUUCACUGGGCGUAAAGGGUGCGCAGGCGGCCAAGUGUGUGAGGCGUGAAAGCCUGGGGCUUAACCCCAGAAUUGCACCUCAAACUACAUGGCUAGAGCAUUGGAGAGGGUAGCAGAAUUCAUGGUGUAGCAGUGAAAUGCGUAGAUAUCAUGAGGAAUACCAGAGGCGAAGGCGGCUACCUGGACAAUUGCUGACGCUCAGGCACGAAAGCGUGGGGAGCAAAAGGGAUUAGAUACCCCUGUAGUCCACGCCCUAAACGGUGCACACUAGGUCUUGGCGGAUUCGACCCCCCCAGGGCCCAAGCUAACGCGUUAAGUGUGCCGCCUGAGGACUACGGCCGCAAGGCUA
rnacentral:rRNA from 1 species